rnacentral:sRNA from 2 species
CCAAAUCGAUAGCCGAACCCUUCCUUCCAUCGGAAGGGGCGGAGGAACCAACGGGAGAUUCUUCUCCCCCGGGGCGAAUCGGAGGCAAGUACAGCUCCGUAGCGCAACUCUUUCAGCGCGAGCCCGCCAGCUAACUCCGCAGGCGCCUGGAAAGAGAUUGA